rnacentral:rRNA from 1 species
AACGUAGGACACAAGCGUUAUCCGGAGUUACUGGGCGUAAAGGGCGUGUAGGCGGAGAUGUAAGUCUAUUCUGAAAGCUCCUGGCUAAACUGGGAGAGGCGAAUGGAGACUGCAUAUCUAGAGUGAGGAAGAGGAAAGUGGAAUUCCGCGUGUAGUGGUGAAAUGCGUAGAGAUGCGGAGGAACACCAGUGGCGAAGGCGGCUC